rnacentral:lncRNA from 1 species
GGGGAAACGACACAUGCUCGCUAGGAUGUCGCAUCCUAUGCAUACGUAUCUCCUUGGACGAAGGAGAAUCAGAGCAUUCGUAGCUCGGCUGACACACACACAAACUAACACAGGCAAAGGCAAACGUGGAACCCGAAUGCCAAUCACUGGACUUACAUCAGCAUCCGAACCAAACACACACAAAGAGGCAAACGUGGAGCCUGAACGCCAAUCACUGGACUUACAUCAGCAUCCGAACCAACAAA